rnacentral:lncRNA from 1 species
CGGAGGAGGGCUCCUGUGGAGUCUGUGGGGAGGGCGAGGCACAAUGAAGGGGUUCUGAGUGUGUUGGGAAAACUGCGGACUAGCUUCAGCAGAUUCUGUAGAAGGACUGUGAUGCUGGGCGAUGCCCUUGGGAGGAUCCUCUAAGAAGGGAGAUGCGAAAGAGUGGGGUGACCUUGUCCAGUCUCUUUAGGGAGAAGGCUUUGGGAUAGGUAAACAGUAGUGUCUGCCACACCUCAAUAAAUCAGAAAUCGUAAGAAAACUGUCUCCAUCUUGAGAAAAAUAUCAAGUGUGAGUUAUACGAUCAAACUUAGCUCUAUUUUCUAUAUUAAACAUUGCAUGAAAGUAGGAAAACCAGUUUCAUGAAAUUCUAGGAAACACUUUCCGUGGUCUUCCAAAUGGCAUUUUUCUGUGGCAAUGUGUCACAUUGUCUACUGAACCGACAAAAACAAUGCCUUUGCUGCUUCAGAGCACGUUAUUAGCUAGACGAGCUCAGGUGCACUAUCAACCUUCAAAGUCUUGCAAAGUGCAGUUUGAUGUUUCCUCUGACAAAUAUAGGAAACCUGUUUAAAAUAUUGUUACUUUGGGGAAAAAAUGUGUUUUUAACCCAAUGUCCUUACACCGCCUCCCAGCAACUGAGAAAGAAGUAGAGAUGAAGAUCAACAUGUAAGCCAGGGUUCAUGGCAACACCCAGCCAAGGAAGACCCCACCUGGGCGCGAGGCGACAGAACCAUGGGAACACCGGCAAGACAGCCGAACUUCUCAGAAGAGCCGUCCGCAUAGGCUCCCUCCGUGUCACUCAGCCACAACCUGAAGCCCCCGAAAUUGCCCCACUCCGUCACCUUUUCACUUUGCAUCCUACCUGGCCUGAAGGUAUCAUCAGACCACACACACACACACACACACAAACACACACACAUCUUUUUGCAUUUGGGAUAAGCUGCCAUCUUUGAAGACUCUUUUGUUCCUGAUGCAGCUCACGUGGCGUUGGAAACUUUCAGACUGACACCUCGCUGCUGACCUUGAGCAAGGUUUCACUCCCCAGCGGGGGAGACGGGCCUGAACCCAGCAAUUAUGCGCUGAUGCCCGUCAACCUGGCUCGUCUUGGGGACAGAGAUUCUUGCCCAGGCGGGCAUCAGAUGCAGAAUAGAUAUUCAUGAGAGUCAAAAGGUAAUUUGCACGUCUCAAAUUGCAUCCUACCUCUCCCCAUCAAUUUUCCUCUCCCAUGGAAGGUAAAAUUAAAGGCUUCAGAAUAUUACACCUUUUAGUAGUUAUCAGGUGACAGAGACUCAGGGUGUCAAAGUUAUUGACAGGCUCACCGGUUGAGCGUGGGCUUGGACUGUCCCUUUAUCAGAGCUACAAUCAGGGCUUUAACCAUACACCAGAGACAAUAGCAAUUAAUUUAGGGAAAACCCAACCACAGUGGAAACUCCUACGAAUAGUUUUACCAGCACAACUUGCAAACACCUCGAGCUCUCUGGAGUUC